AUAAUGGAACUUCCGAAUCGACUAUCGGCUCCAUUAGACUUGAUCUAGCACAUUUGAAGUAUGUAGAAAAUAAAUUUUGCGCAUUUUCAAUAUCAUUUUUCUAGUGAUCGAAAGAAUUCAAAAUAAAUAAUUUUUUAUGGUUGAUGUGUGCUGUUUGCGGGUUUAACGGUGUAGAAGUUUUCUAAUAAGAAAAUAUUUUUAUACUAUUUACAGUAAGAUCAAUAUCUCUGAUCGAAAAUUUUAAUUCUACAUCAUAACUUUUUGUGAGAUUUUUAUAUUCAACUGUUGAUUUUGGGUCCUUUCGGCUAUUGGAUGAAGAA
rnacentral:lncRNA from 1 species